rnacentral:rRNA from 1 species
AAUGCUAUUUGCGCUAAUGUUUUAGUGUAAAAUCGACUAUGUCGCAUAAAAUUCUGGAUAGAAUUAUGAUAAUGACAUUAUCUAUUUAUAAGUCUUGACCAAAUUACGUGCCAGCAGUCGCGGUAAUACGUAGAAGACAAGUGUUAUUCAUCUUUAAUAGGUUUAAAGGGUACUUAGACGGUAAAUAAAGCCUCAAAAAGGGACUAGUUUGCUAGAGUUUUAUAUGAAGGGGUUUUAAAGUACUACUGGUGUAGAGAUGAAAUUCAGUUAUACCUUACAUGGCACAGGUUAAGGCGAAAGCAUCUUCUUAUGUAAAAACUGACGUUGAAGGACGAAGGCUUUGUGUCUCGAACAGGAUUAGAUACCCUAGUAGUCUAAGCAGAAAAUCAUGAAUGUCAUAGAUUAGAUAUAAUUUGAUCUAUAAAUGAUAGUGUAAGCAUUCCACCUCAAGAGUAAUUUGGCAACAUUGGAACUGAAAUCAUUAGACCGUUUCUGAAACCAGUAGUGAAGUAUGUUGUUUAAUUUGAUAAUCCGCAAAAAACCUUACCACAAUUUGAAUAGAUAUAUUUUAUCAUACAGGCGUUGCACGGCUGUUUUUAGUUAAUGUCGUGAGACUUUGGUUAGUUCCAUUAAAUUAACGUAAACCCUUACUUUAUUUUUAUAUAAAGUAGUUCACCGCUAUAUUGGAUGUGAUAAUAGGGAUCAAGACAAGUCAUCAUGACCUAAAUAUUGUGGGCUAUAGACGUGCCACAUAUGCCUUACAAAGGGAUGC